CUAAGGGUAGUAUAUAAAAUAUCACUCGCUUACAACGAGUAGAACCAUAAGGCCCUUAGU
rnacentral:tRNA from 1 species